GGACUACUAGGGUUUCUAAUCCCGUUCGCUCCCCUGGCUUUCGCACCUCAGCGUCAGUUACCUCCCAGGACACUGCCUUCGCCUUUGGUAUUCCUCCGGAUCUCUACGCAUUUCACCACUCCACCCGGAAUUCUAUGUCCCUCUGAGGUCCUCCAGUCCCACCGUCUUCCCGGCACUCCCCCCGUUAAGCAGGGAGCUGGCACCGGAAACGCGCAGAACCGCCUACGUGCCCUUUACGCCCAGUAACUCCGGACAACGCUCGCCCCCUACGUAUUACCGCGGCGGCUGGCAC
rnacentral:rRNA from 1 species